CUGCGGAAGGAUCAUUAUUGAAUGAAACUUCUGGCUGGAUGCUGUUGUGCUGGUCCUUUGGGGCAAUGUGCACGCCUCUGGCUGUUUGUUUCUUCUGUUCCACCUGUGCACUGUCUGUAGACACACACUGUGUCUAUGAUAUAUGGUUACACACACGCAUGAUGUUUUGCAUAUUGGUUGGCAUAUUACAUAUGUAUAUGAUAUAUACAACUUUCAACAACGGAUCUCUUGGCUCUCGCAUCGAUGAAGAACACAGCGAAAUGUGAUAAGUAAUGUGAAUUGCAGAAUCCAGUGAAUCAUCGAAUCUUUGAACGCAUCUUGCGCUCCUUGGCAUUCCGAGGAGCAUGCCUGUUUGAGUGUCAUUAAACUAUCAAAUCACCUCUCUUGAGGUGCUUUGGACUUUGGGAGUAUUUUGCUGGUCUGUUUGAGCCAGCUCUCCUCAAAAGCAUUAGCUAUGGAGACCAUCAGUGUGAUAACUUUGUUUACACUGACUGAGUGUGUCUCUGCUUCUUAAAAUGCCCCCUUUGACCUCAAAUCAGGUAGGACUACCCGCUGAACUUAAGCAUAUCAAUAAGCGGAGGAAAAGAAACUAACAAGGAUUCCCCUAGUAACUGCGAGUGAAGCGGGAAAAGCUCAAAUUUGAAAUCUGGCAGUCUUUUUUUUCUUCUUUGGCUGUCCGAGUUGUAAUCUAGAGAAGUGCUUACCUGCGCUGGACCGUGUACAAGUCUCCUG
rnacentral:rRNA from 1 species